rnacentral:lncRNA from 1 species
GCAAUAGCAUUUCUAAUAACUGUGGAGAGCGUGAGGCAUGAAUGGGGAGGGGAGGAAGACUGUCAAGAUUCGCCAUUAGGAAAUUUCCUGGUAAAACUGUCGUCUUCCACGGGGCUUUUCCCUGAAGAAAACGCUCCUGGUCAAGUGAUUUGCGAAGACCUCUCCCACAGCCUAUGCAUGAGACCGUUCGUUUCUCUAAGCAGGCUCAGCAGACAGCCAACCCCUAGGAAACUGAGUCCCUCUAAAUCAGUGGCUCUCGACGAGCUGACCUUGCCCCCAGGGCACAGGUGGCAAUGGCUGGGGAUAUCUGUGGUUGUCACCCUGAGGGGCUGUUGGCAUCUGGUGGGUGGGUGCCAGUCAUGCGGAUAAAUGUCUUACUACUAGAAAGGGGUCCUGAUCCAGACCCCGAUAAAUGGUUCUUGGACCUCAUGAAAGAAAGAAUUUGGGGAGAGUCCAUAGAGUAAAGUGAA